UCGGGCACAACAGAGACUCGGCACACCUGGACCCCCAGGGAGCGCAGCGUCCGGCACAGAAAGUCCUUGGCACCUUUCACCUGGACAGUGGCAACAGACCCCUGGCCAGGCUCCCGGCAUCCAGCCACAGCGCCCUGCCCCAUGCCUCCCGAAUAACCUUCCUAACGUGUCACUGUGAUUGCAUCACUCUUGGCUCAAAAGCCAUUUGUUGUUUCCAACCCUGUACAGAAUAAAGUUCAAAUACCUCUGCAGAAUA